AAAGAACGCUGCUCUGCUAACGUGGUAGGAUCCGAGGCUCCUAUAGGCUCUCCUAUCCAACUCCUAUUCCGUCACGUCCUCGUCUUGCAGAGUGGUAACGUGUCCCCUCGCAUAUCCGAGCUUGGGUACACGGGUUAUUUUCUACCCCUCGGGCGGGGAUGGAGGAACAUAGCUAAACGGGAAUGG
rnacentral:ribozyme from 1 species